rnacentral:lncRNA from 12 species
GUGCUUUAUAAUGGUGAUGUUUGUUUUGUAUGCUUAUGUGUUUUUAUAUUUUUAAUAUCUUAGAUGCUUUUAUUGACCAUGUAAUGUGAGUCAUUGGUAUCUGCUAGAGACAUCAUCUUCUCCUGAUUGGUGGUAAUUGCUGACAGAAGCAUUUCUUGGCAGCAUCAUUGGAAUACUUCUUCACUGAAUCCAAAAUGAGGACUUCUUUGGAUCCCAGAAUUGUGCUAGAGAUGCUUUGCUGUAGUGGCUGGUGGUACCCAGGACAGAGACUGUCAAUCAAAGGACCUUGCUACCCCCACAAGAAAGAGUGAAGUUAUUUUUGUCAUCACUCAGACACAGCUGUGAUUUCUGC